rnacentral:rRNA from 1 species
UACGGAGGGGGCUAGCGUUGUUCGGAAUUACUGGGCGUAAAGCGCUCGUAGGCGGAUUGGUCAGUCAGAGGUGAAAGCCCAGGGCUCAACCCUGGAACUGCCUUUGAUACUGCCAGUCUAGAGUUGGGAGAGGUGAGCGGAAUUCCGAGUGUAGAGGUGAAAUCGUAGAUAUUCGGAGGAACACCAGAGGCGAAGGCGGCUCACUGGACCGAUACUGACGCUGAGGAGCGAAAAGCGUGGGGAGCAACAGGAUUAGAUACC